rnacentral:rRNA from 1 species
UUUGGUGUCCCAGGCGUAGAGGAACCACACCAACCCAUCCCAAACUUGGUGGUUAAACUCUACUGCGGUGAUGAUACUAUAGGAGAAGCCCUGUGGGAAAAUAUCUCGGUGCCAGGA